rnacentral:rRNA from 1 species
UGGGGGAUAUUGCACAAUGGGCGAAAGCCUGAUGCAGCGACGCCGCGUGGGGGAUGAAGGCCUUCGGGUUGUAAACUUCUUUUGCUCUGAACAAGGCAUGCUAAUGGGUGUGUUGAGUGUAGGGGUUGAUUAGCGCCGGCUAACUACGUGCCAGCAGCCGCGGUAAUACGUAGGGCGCGAGCGUUGUCCGGAAUUAUUGGGCGUAAAGGGCUUGUAGGUGGCUGGUUGCGUCUGUCGUGAAAGCUCAUGGCUUAUCUGUGGGUUUGCGGUGGGUACGGGCUGGCUUGAGUGCAGUAGGGGAGGCUGGAAUUCCUGGUGUAGCGGUGGAAUGCGCAGAUAUCAGGAGGAAUACCGGUGGCGAAGGCGGGUCUCUGGGCUGUUACUGACACUGAGGAGCGAAAGCAUGGGGAGCGAACAGG